rnacentral:rRNA from 1 species
GACGAACGCUGGCGGCGUGCUUAACACAUGCAAGUCGAACGGAAAGGCCCUGCUUUUGUGGGGUGCUCGAGUGGCGAACGGGUGAGUAACACGUGAGUAACCUGCCCUUGACUUUGGGAUAACUUCAGGAAACUGGGGCUAAUACCGGAUAGGAGCUCCAGCUGCAUGGUGGGGGUUGGAAAGUUUCGGCGGUUGGGGAUGGACUCGCGGCUUAUCAGCUUGUUGGUGGGGUAGUGGCUUACCAAGGCUUUGACGGGUAGCCGGCCUGAGAGGGUGACCGGCCACAUUGGGACUGAGAGACGGCCCAGACUCCUACGGGAGGCAGCAGUGGGGAAUAUUGCACAAUGGGCGGAAGCCUGAUGCAGCAACGCCGCGUGCGGGAUGACGGCCUUCGGGUUGUAAACCGCUUUCGCCUGUGACGAAGCGUGAGUGACGGUAAUGGGUAAAGAAGCACCGGCUAACUACGUG